rnacentral:rRNA from 1 species
GCCCAACAGCUAGCCCACCCGAUUAUUUCAACCUUAUAAUAUUAAUAACCCUAAAUACAAUAAAUACAAUUAAUUAAACCAUUCUCCCCCUUUAGUAUGAGCGACAGAAAAAGAAUUCGGCGCAAUAAAGAAAGUACCGCAAGGGAAAGCUGAAAAAGAAAUGAAACAACCCAGUUAAGCACUAAAAAGCAGAGACUUCCCCUCGUACCUUUUGCAUCAUGUUUUAGCUAGUGCUCCUCAAGCAAAAAGCCCUUUAGUUUGAAAACCCGAAACCAGGUGAGCUACUCCAAGACAGCCUUGUUAUUAGGGCUAACCCGUCUCUGUGGCAAAAGAGUGGGAAGAGCUUCGAGUAGAGGUGACAGACCUACCGAACCUUGUUAUAGCUGGUUGCCUAAAAAUUGAAUAGAAGUUCAGCCUCUAAACUUUUCCAAUCACACAUAAAAUUUUGAUCAAGAAAAGAGAAGUUUAUAGAGUUAGUCAAAAGGGGUACAGCCCUUUUGAAACAAGAUACAACUUUUAUGGGCGGAUAAAAAUCAAAAUUUAUUAAAG